AUCUGCAGUCGACGACUCUGUGUAUUGAUUGGUGCUUGCAUCAUGAUUUACAUUUGAGUGAGUGGCGAACUGGUGAGUAACACGUGGGAAACCUGCCCAGAAGCGGGGGAUAACACCUGGAAACAGAUGCUAAUACCGCAUAACAACUUGGACCGCAUGGUCCGAGUUUGAAAGAUGGCUUCGGCUAUCACUUUUGGAUGGUCCCGCGGCGUAUUAGCUAGAUGGUGGGGUAACGGCUCACCAUGGCAAUGAUACGUAGCCGACCUGAGAGGGUAAUCGGCCACAUUGGGACUGAGACACGGCCCAAACUCCUACGGGAGGCAGCAGUAGGGAAUCUUCCACAAUGGACGAAAGUCUGAUGGAGCAACGCCGCGUGAGUGAAGAAGGGUUUCGGCUCGUAAAACUCUGUUGUUAAAGAAGAACAUAUCUGAGAGUAACUGUUCAGGUAUUGACGGUAUUUAACCAGAAAGCCACGGCUAACUACGUGCCAGCAGCCGCGGUAAUACGUAGGUGGCAAGCGUUGUCCGGAUUUAUUGGGCGUAAAGCGAGCGCAGGCGGUUUUUUAAGUCUGAUGUGAAAGCCUUCGGCUCAACCGAAGAAGUGCAUCGGAAACUGGGAAACUUGAGUGCAGAAGAGGACAGUGGAACUCCAUGUGUAGCGGUGAAAUGCGUAGAUAUAUGGAAGAACACCAGUGGCGAUGGCGGCUGUCUGGUCUGUAACUGACGCUGAGGCUCGAAAGUAUGGGUAGCAAACAGGAUUAGAUACCCUGCUAGUCCAUACCGUAUACGAUGAUGCUAGUGUUGGAGGGUUCGCCCUUCAGUGCUGCAGCUACGCAUUAAGCAUUCGCUGGGGAGUACGGCGCAGCUGAACUCAAGGGAAUUGACGGGGGACUC
rnacentral:rRNA from 2 species